GCAAGUGAUGAUUUGAAACAUUCUUCACUUUGACCUGAGUAUUCGGUGAUGAUAACAUUCACUCUGAGC
ensembl:snoRNA